CACGUAGGGGGCAAGCGUUGUCCGGAUUUAUUGGGCGUAAAGAGCUCGUAGGCGGUUCGGUAAGUUGGGUGUGAAACCUCCAGGCUCAACCUGGAGACGCCACCCGAUACUGCUGUGACUAGAGUCCGGUAGGGGAGCGUGGAAUUCCUGGUGUAGCGGUGAAAUGCGCAGAUAUCAGGAGGAACACCGGUGGCGAAGGCGGGUCUCUGGGCCGAUACUGACGCUGAGGAGCGAAAGCGUGGGGAGCAAACAGG
rnacentral:rRNA from 1 species